AAAAAGCGGAGGAAAAGAAACCAACCGGGAUUGCCUUAGUAACGGCGAGUGAAGCGGCAAAAGCUCAAAUUUGAAAUCUGGUACCUUCGGUGCCCGAGUUGUAAUUUGGAGAGGGCAACUUUGGGGCCGUUCCUUGUCUAUGUUCCUUGGAACAGGACGUCAUAGAGGGUGAGAAUCCCGUGUGGCGAGGAGUGCGGUUCUUUGUAAAGUGCCUUCGAAGAGUCGAGUUGUUUGGGAAUGCAGCUCUAAGUGGGUGGUAAAUUCCAUCUAAAGCUAAAUAUUGGCGAGAGACCGAUAGCGAACAAGUACAGUGAUGGAAAGAUGAAAAGAACUUUGAAAAGAGAGUGAAAAAGUACGUGAAAUUGUUGAAAGGGAAGGGCAUUUGAUCAGACAUGGUGUUUUGUGCCCUCUGCUCCUUGUGGGUAGGGGAAUCUCGCAUUUCACUGGGCCAGCAUCAGUUUUGGUGGCAGGAUAAAUCCAUAGGAAUGUAGCUUGCCUCGGUAAGUAUUAUAGCCUGUGGGAAUACUGCCAGCUGGGACUGAGGACUGCGACGUAAGUCAAGGAUGCUGGCAUAAUGGUUAUAUGCCGCCCGUCUUGCCC
rnacentral:rRNA from 1 species